rnacentral:rRNA from 1 species
CCUACGGGUGGCUGCAGUGGGGAAUAUUGCACAAUGGGUGCAAGCCUGAUGCAGCCAUGCCGCGUGUGUGAAGAAGGCCUUCGGGUUGUAAAGCACUUUCAGCGGGGAGGAAGGCGGGGAGGUUAAUAACCUCAUCGAUUGACGUUACCCGCAGAAGAAGCACCGGCUAACUCCGUGCCAGCAGCCGCGGUAAUACGGAGGGUGCAAGCGUUAAUCGGAAUUACUGGGCGUAAAGCGCACGCAGGCGGUCUGUCAAGUCGGAUGUGAAAUCCCCGGGCUCAACCUGGGAACGGCAUUGGAAACUGGCAGGCUAGAGUCUUGUAGAGGGGGGUAGAAUUCCAGGUGUAGCGGUGAAAUGCGUAGAGAUCUGGAGGAAUACCGGUGGCGAAGGCGGCCCCCUGGACAAAGACUGACGCUCAGGUGCGAAAGCGUGGGGAGCAAACAGGAUUAGAUACCCUUGUAGUC